GGACCCGCACAAGCGGUGGAUGAUGUGGUUUAAUUCGAUGCAACGCGAAAAACCUUACCCACCUUUGACAUGUACGGAAUUCCGCAGAGAUGUGGAAGUGCUCGAAAGAGAGCCGUAACACAGGUGCUGCAUGGCUGUCGUCAGCUCGUGUCGUGAGAUGUUGGGUUAAGUCCCGCAACGAGCGCAACCCUUGUCAUUAGUUGCUACAUUCAGUUGGGCACUCUAAUGAGACUGCCGGUGACAAACCGGAGGAAGGUGGGGAUGACGUCAAGUCCUCAUGGCCCUUAUAGGUGGGGCUACACACGUCAUACAAUGGCCGGUACAAAGGGCUGCCAACCCGCGAGGGGGAGCCAAUCCCAUAAAACCGGUCGUAGUCCGGAUCGUAGUCUGCAACUCGACUACGUGAAGUCGGAAUCGCUAGUAAUCGUGGAUCAGAAUGUCACGGUGAAUACGUUCCCGGGUCUU
rnacentral:rRNA from 1 species